UUGCUUUUCCUUUGUAACCCAGGCAUCGGUUAUUCCGAGAACACUGUGUGUGCAUCAAUGGCUACUACAUCAAAGACCUAACGAUCCUCGGACGCGACCUCUCAAAGACGAUCAUCAUUGACAACUCCCCACAAGCCUUUGGGUACCAGUUGGACAACGGUAUCCCCAUUGAAAGCUGGUUUGUCGACCAGCGUGAUGACUGAACUACUAAAACUGAUCCCUUUUCUUGAGAGUUUAGUUGCCCUUAAUGAAGAUGUAAGACCAUACAUUCGUGAGCGGUUUCGGUUACACACGUUGUUGCCUCCAUAAACUGCCAGUGGAACACAGGAGUUCUCUCCCUUUAAGAGAAAAUGGCACUUGUACAGUUGUAGGAUGUUGGGUCACAAUCAAUCGGGAUGUCAUUCUGGCCAGAGAAUUUCCAGUGUUCAGCCUUCUUGUCUCUAAGUUUUACCGAUAGUAUUGCGUGGUUAAACCUAGUCAGUAAAUGGUCCCAUAUUUACGAACAAUCUCAGCUGUAUCUGAAGUCAGAACAUACGUCAUGGGACAAUCUUAGUUCUCAGCGCAAAACAAAUAUCGGAGGACAUUUCAUUAUUGUUGUCACAUGACCAUCACAUCUCAACUGACCAAUCAUUGUCCUUCACCUUGUGAUCCAUAUGUAUUUUCUGAUCAUGGAACCUUGAAAAGUUUUAAGAUAGUUUUCUGACCAACAGUGUCUUUACGACUGGUUCCAUCAGAAUCAUUGUCUUCUCUCUCUUUUGAACGCAAUAGACUUUCCAUAGAAAGUGGGAAGUACUGCCCUACUAUAUCAAUGUUUCACAAUGUUUUGUUUUGUUUUGUUCAAAUUUUGAAUCAAGAACUUUGGGAAAUGGUUUUCAAAGUGUGAUCUUUAAGGAAGUUUGGCUGUUUGAAUCCUCUGCCGCCAAGCUUGAGAACCCUGUUUCUGAUUAGCUCUUGGGUCAGUCAAGGUUUGUGACACGACCUCUAAUGGCAUGAUGACCUUUGAUCUUUGUUUAUCAGUCGCAAGAAGUAAGAUCUGAUUUUAACGACAUCGAGUCAGGGAUAAGAAUGUUGGGAUCCGUUCAUUAGUAAUCAUGUCAUAUUUCCUUAACCACUGGUUAGAAUUGUACCAGUUUU